rnacentral:rRNA from 1 species
AUUGAACGCUGGCGGCAUGCCUUACACAUGCAAGUCGAACGGCAGCACGGGAGCAAUCCUGGUGGCGAGUGGCGAACGGGUGAGUAAAGUAUCGGAACGUGCCCAGUUGUGGGGGAUAACGUAGCGAAAGUUACGCUAAUACCGCAUACGAUCUAUGGAUGAAAGCGGGGGAUCGCAAGACCUCGCGCGAUUGGAGCGGCCGAUAUCAGAUUAGGUAGUUGGUGGGGUAAAGGCUCACCAAGCCGACGAUCUGUAGCUGGUCUGAGAGGACGACCAGCCACACUGGGACUGAGACACGGCCCAGACUCCUACGGGAGGCAGCAGUGGGGAAUUUUGGACAAUGGGCGAAAGCCUGAUCCAGCCAUGCCGCGUGCAGGAUGAAGGCCUUCGGGUUGUAAACUGCUUUUGUACGGAACGAAAAGGUUUGGCCUAAUAAGCUGAGCUCAUGACGGUACCGUAAGAAUUAGCACCGGCUAACUACGUGCCAGCCGCCGCAGUAA